rnacentral:rRNA from 1 species
AGAGGGUGCAAGCGUUAAUCGGAUUUACUGGGCGUAAAGCGCGCGUAGGCGGCUAAUUAAGUCAAAUGUGAAAUCCCCGAGCUUAACUUGGGAAUUGCAUUCGAUACUGGUUAGCUAGAGUGUGGGAGAGGAUGGUAGAAUUCCAGGUGUAGCGGUGAAAUGCGUAGAGAUCUGGAGGAAUACCGAUGGCGAAGGCAGCCAUCUGGCCUAACACUGACGCUGAGGUGCGAAAGCAUGGGGAGCAAACAGGAUUAGAUACCCUGGUAGUCCAUGCCGUAAACGAUGUCUACUAGCCGUUGGGGCCUUCGAGGCUUUAGUGGCGCAGCUAACGCGAUAAGUAGACCGCCUGGGGAGUACGGUCGCAAGACUAAAACUCAAAUGAAUUGACGGGGGCCCGCACAAGCGGUGGAGCAUGUGGUUUAAUUCGAUGCAACGCGAAGAACCUUACCUGGCCUUGACAUAGUAGAAACUUUCCAGAGAUGGAUUGGUGCCUUCGGGAAUCUACAUACAGGUGC